AGGACGAACGCUGGCGGCGUGCUUAACACAUGCAAGUCACGGGGGCCCGCAAGGGUAACCGGCGAACGGGUGCGUAACACGUGAGCAACCUGCCUAGAUGUGGGGGAUAGCCGGCCCAACGGCCGGGUAAUACCGCAUACGGUCACGAGGAGGAGUCUCCUUGUGAAGAAACCUCCGGGGCAUUUAGAGGGGCUCGCGGCCUAUCAGCUAGUUGGCGGGGUAAUGGCCCACCAAGGCUUCGACGGGUAGCUGGUCUGAGAGGAUGGCCAGCCACAUUGGGACUGAGAGACGGCCCAGACUCCUACGGGAGGCAGCAGUGGGGAAUCUUGCGCAAUGGCCGAAAGGCUGACGCAGCGACGCCGCGUGUGGGAGGACGCCCUUCGGGGUGUAAACCACUGUUGCCCGGGACGAACAUCCACUUUCGAGUGGACUGACGGUACCGGGUGAGGAAGCACCGGCUAACGUCCGUGCCAGCAGCCGC
rnacentral:rRNA from 1 species